rnacentral:rRNA from 1 species
GAGUUUGAUCCUGGCUCAGGACGAACGCUGGCGGUGUGCUUAAUACAUGCAAGUCGAACGAUGAGGACCCUUCGGGGUACAUCAGUGGCGGACGGCUGAGUAACGCGUAGAUAACGUGCCCUUUACUGGGGGAUAACACCGGGAACCGGUGCUAAUACCGCAUAAGUCAUUGGUUGAAAUACUGGUGAUUAAAGAUUUAUUGGUAAAGGAUCGGUCUGCGUCUGAUUAGCUUGUUGGUAGGGU